UGGGGAAUAUUGGACAAUGGGGGAAACCCUGAUCCAGCAAUGCCGCGUGGGUGAAGAAGGCCUGCGGGUUGUAAAGCCCUUUCGGUGAGGACAAAACGCCACGUGCUAAUACCACGUUGUUUUGAUUUAACUCACUAAAGAAGCACCGGCUAACUCUGUGCCAGCAGCCGCGGUAAUACAGAGGGUGCAAGCGUUAAUCGGAAUUACUGGGCGUAAAGCGCACGUAGGCGGCUUGGUAAGUUGGAUGUGAAAUCCCCGGGCUUAACUUGGGAAUUGCAUUCAAGACUGCCUUGCUGGAGUGUGGGAGAGGGAAGCGGAAUUCCAGGUGUAGCGGUGAAAUGCGUAGAUAUCUGGAGGAACAUCAGUGGCGAAGGCGGCUUUCUGGCCCAACACUGACGCUGAGGUGCGAAAGCGUGGGGAGCAAACAGGAUUAGAUACCCCCGUAGUCC
rnacentral:rRNA from 1 species